ACUGGAGCUAGAAGGGGGCAGGGAAAUGGGACGAUGACCAGAUGUGGCCCAUGGCAAGGCCGUGCAUUGUGAAGGGAGGAGGAGGGUCUGAGAUCCGGGAGCCCUGCAGAGAGUUUGCUGAAGAGUGAAGAAAGGACGGCGUUAGUAAUGGGAUGAGGGAUACUGGAGUCCGAAUUAACAUAGCACACAGAGAGAUAUUCAGGGAAAAUACAUCAUAUCUUGCACUUGGGUGGAAAAGAGCAGAAAUCCUUGGUUAACAGGAUUAUACGCAAUGGUGCAGAAAGCAUUCUCUAAAGAAAAAUCAGAGAGGAAGAAACACUGCAUGGAGAAUCCAAGAAACACUCUAAGAAUUGAAGUUAAAAUGUCGGAGGUAAGAAAGUGACAAUCCUUGGAGGAAUAUUUUUGGAAUGUACAUCAGCAAUGCACGCAUGUGUUCCUUUUGCGCCGCAUCACUGCUUCCCUGAAGAAGCCCGGCUCACACCACAAGGACAACAACAAGCACGCAGGAGAGAGUAGACUGGGGUCAGACAGAGCAAUUGCAAUCUUCCACUUUGAUUUCCUGAGAACAUAGUGGUGGGCAGAAACGUGCUAUCAAAAAAGGAGGCCUCGUAUGUCUUCUUCUAGGAGGACUCUCAGCUGAUGUUGGUUUUUUUAGUCUGUAUGAGCGAUGGACAAGCUGUCACUACCCAUUAGAUUUUGGGUGGUCCCAGGGGACCAUCCCAAGUUUGAGGAAAGUUGGCAAUGGAAAAAGGAGCAUCUGAUAGGAGCAGUCAGUGAAGUCCUUGGGUUCUUACAGAGGCAGAGAGCAUGCUGUUCAGGCGCAGAUGCUGGCGUUGGACACACCCAGAUGUCAGUGUGAAAAGAAAAUAAAAUUCCGGGACCCCAAACUCAAUACACCAAAGGGAAAAGGAAAGCUUGGAAGCUGAGUCACACAAAAAAUCGGUCUUUUGUUUCUAAAUAGACAGCUACAAGAUAAAAGGACACAUGUCUCUCCAGGUGGCCUCCCUCACCUUGACAGUGUGAAUUAACAGCUUAUCUUCAUGGACAUGGGACAAGAGGAGACUGGAAAUCAUCUCCCACACCACCCUCUCCAAGACAAAUUCAUAUUUAACUUCUACUUCUGCUCUGUUGACUUUAUCCUAUGUAAAGUACAGAUUUAC
rnacentral:lncRNA from 10 species